GGAGAGGUGGCAGAGUGGUCGAUCGCGCCGGACUCGAAAUCCGGUUUACUGUUAUGCAGUAACGAGGGUUCGAAUCCCUCCCUCUCCGCCA
rnacentral:tRNA from 1 species